rnacentral:rRNA from 1 species
CCCAUCAUUCCGUGGACGGCUCCUUUGCGGAAGGCCCCGUUGCCCCUGAAAGUCAAGAUCUUUGUGUGGCAAUUGCCGCAGGACCGCCUCCCCUCUGGGACGGAGGUCCUUAAACGGCAUGGGCUGGGUAAUGGCUUGUGCCCCCUUUGUGAUGUCCCGGAGACCGGGUCCCACAUUCUAUUCUCGUGCACUGCAGCGCGUGCCCUCUGAAGCUUUGUUCGCGAGGCUCUCGGGCCUGAUUGGGAGGCCCUAGACCUUCUGGAGUUGCUAGAAGCCAGAGCUAACCAGAUCAGGCGGCAUCGCUGUCUAUUCUGGCUUAUAUUUGUGGCGAUAUCGUGGACUCUGUGGAUAACUUGUAAUAAAAGGGUGAUUGAGAGGGUUUUCCAGUUCCAGCGGCAUGCCUCUGACUCUGUUCCUCAAAUUCCUUGCUUUCUUACAACACUAGCACCCGUUAUCUAG